rnacentral:rRNA from 1 species
GGAAACGGUGGCUAAUACCGGAUGAGCAGAGAUGUAAAAGAUUAAUUGCCUGAAGAUGAGCUCGCGUCUGAUUAGCUAGUUGGUGGGGUAAGAGCCUACCAAGGCGACGAUCAGUAGCUGGUCUGAGAGGAUGAUCAGCCACACUGGGACUGAGACACGGCCCAGACUCCUACGGGAGGCAGCAGUGGGGAAUUUUCCGCAAUGGGCGAAAGCCUGACGGAGCAAUACCGCGUGAGGGAGGAAGGCUCUUGGGUCGUAAACCUCUUUUCUCAGGGAAGAAAAAAAUGACGGUACCUGAGGAAUAAGCAUCGGCUAACUCCGUGCCAGCAGCCGCGGUAAUACGGAGGAUGCAAGCGUUAUCCGGAAUGAUUGGGCGUAAAGCGUCCGCAGGUGGCUGUGUAAGUCUGCUGUUAAAGAAUGAGGCUCAACCUCAUCAAAGCAGUGGAAACUACACGGCUAGAGUGCGUUCGGGGCACAGGGAAUUCCUGGUGUAGCGGUGAAAUGCGUAGAGAUCAGGAAGAACACCGGUGGCGAAAGCGCUCUGCUAGCCGCAACUGACACUGAGGGACGAAAGCUAGGGGAGCGAAUGGGAUUAGAUACCCC